GUCUUGGCUGGGUAGAUCUAUAAUUAUACGUCAUCAAAGAAGAGAAAGUGACCCCUUGAUAUAUGCUGGUCCAAUUUAAAGUUAUGAGGUUGUCUUUUUGAAGCGGUUUUCUUCUGCCAUACCUUUGAUCACUGGUUAUUUUUGUUUAUGAGAGGAUAAGUGCUUAUCAUUCACCAAUUGCAAGAGUGGGUUUUUAUUUUCAUUUGAUGAUUUUCGGCAACAUUACUUGCAACCGAUUUGCGGGUGUUCUUCAAAGGUUGAUGAGGCCAUGAGCAAUAAGUGACAUGCCUUCUUCGUGGUAAUAGGCGCGAAACACCGAG